rnacentral:rRNA from 1 species
GCCUAACACGUGGGUAACCUGCCCUUUGGUGGGGAAUAACUCCUCGAAAGCGGAGCUAAUUCCGCAUAAGAUCCGCAAGGAUGAAAGCCGCAAGGCGCCGAAGGAGGGGCCCGCGCCCGAUUAACUAGUUGGUGAGGUAAUGGCUCACCAAGGCUUUGAUCGGUAGCUGGUCUGAGAGGAUGAUCAGCCACACUGGAACUGAGACACGGUCCAGACUCCUACGGGAGGCAGCAGUGGGGAAUCUUGCACAAUGGGCGAAAGCCUGAUGCAGCGACGCCGCGUGGGGGAUGAAGCAUUUCGGUGUGUAAACCCCUUUCGAUCCGGACGAAACCCCGCAAGGGAUUGACGGUACGGAUAUAAGAAGCCCCGGCUAACUACGUGCCAUCAGCCGCGGUAAGACGUAGGGGGCCAGCGUUGUUCGGAAUUACUGGGUGUAAAGGGUUCGUAGGCGGUGUAGCAAGUCGGGAGUGAAAUCUUUGGGCUUAACCCAGAGGCUGCUUCCGAAACUGCUGUGCUUGAGUGUGGGGAGAGGCGCGUGGAAUUGCAGGUGUAGCGGUGAAAAUGC